UACGGAGGGUGCGAGCGUUAAUCGGAAUUACUGGGCGUAAAGCGCGCGUAGGCGGCUUGUUAAGCUGGAUGUGAAAUCCCCGGGCUCAACCUGGGAACUGCACCCAGAACUGGCAAGCUAGAGUACGGUAGAGGUGAGUGGAAUUUCCUGUGUAGCGGUGAAAUGCGUAGAUAUAGGAAGGAACAUCAGUGGCGAAGGCGGCUCACUGGACUGAUACUGACGCUGAGGUGCGAAAGCGUGGGGAGCAAACAGGAUUAGAUACCCGGGUAGUCC
rnacentral:rRNA from 1 species